UACGUAGGGUGCGAGCGUUGUCCGGAAUUACUGGGCGUAAAGAGCUCGUAGGUGGUUUGUCGCGUUGUUCGUGAAAACUCACAGCUCAACUGUGGGCGUGCGGGCGAUACGGGCAGACUGGAGUACUGCAGGGGAGACUGGAAUUCCCGGUGUAGCGGUGAAAUGCGCAGAUAUCGGGAGGAACACCGGUGGCGAAGGCGGUUCUCUGGGCCUGACCUGACGCUGAGGAGCGAAAGCGUGGGGAGCGAACAGG
rnacentral:rRNA from 1 species